rnacentral:rRNA from 1 species
CGCGGCCUAUCAGCUUGUUGGUGGGGUUAUGGCCUACCAAGGCGACGACGGGUAGCCGGCCUGAGAGGGUGUCCGGCCACACUGGGACUGAGAUACGGCCCAGACUCCUACGGGAGGCAGCAGUGGGGAAUAUUGCACAAUGGGCGCAAGCCUGAUGCAGCGACGCCGCGUGAGGGAUGACGGCCUUCGGGUUGUAAACCUCUUUCACCAUUGACGAAGCCCUUCGGGGUGACGGUAGGUGGAGAAGAAGCACCGGCCAACUACGUGCCAGCAGCCGCGGUAAUACGUAGGGUGCGAGCGUUGUCCGGAAUUACUGGGCGUAAAGAGCUCGUAGGUGGUUUGUCGCGUUGUCCGUGAAAACUCACAGCUCAACUGUGGGCGUGCGGGCGAUACGGGCAGACUGGAGUACUGCAGGGGAGACUGGAAUUCCUGGUGUAGCGGUGGAAUGCGCAGAUAUCAGGAGGAACACCGGUGGCGAAGGCGGGUCUCUGGGCAGUAACUGACGCUGAGGAGCGAAAGCGUGGGGAGCGAACAGGAUUAGAUACCCUGGUAGUCCACGCCGUAAACGGUGGGUACUAGGUGUGGGUUUCCUUCCUUGGGAUCCGUGCCGUAGCUAACGCAUUAAGUACCCCGCCUGGGGAGUACGG